GGAGACUGGAAUUCCUGGUGUAGCGGUGGAAUGCGCAGAUAUCAGGAGGAACACCGAUGGCGAAGGCAGGUCUCUGGGCCAUUACUGACACUGAGGAGCGAAAGCGUGGGGAGCGAACAGGAUUAGAUACCCUGGUAGUCCACGCCGUAAACGGUGGGCGCUAGUUGUGCGAACCUUCCACGGUUUGUGCGACGCAGCUAACGCAUUAAGCGCCCCGCCUGGGGAGUACGAUCGCAAGAUUAAAACUCAAAGGAAUUGACGGGGCCCCGCACAAGCAGCGGAGCAUGCGGCUUAAUUCGACGCAACGCGAAGAACCUUACCAAGGCUUGACAUAUACAGGAAUACGGCAGAGAUGUCGUAGCCGCAAGGUCUGUAUACAGGUGGUGCAUGGUUGUCGUCAGCUCGUGUCGUGAGAUGUUGGGUUAAGUCCCGCAACGAGCGCAACCCUCGUUCUGUGUUGCCAGCAUUUAGUUGGGGACUCACAGGAGACUGCCGGGGUUAACUCGGAGGAAGGUGGGGAUGACGUCAAAUCAUCAUGCCCCUUAUGUCUUGGGCUGCACGCAUGCUACAAUGGCUGGUACAAACGGCUGCAAUACCGCAAGGUGGAGCGAAUCCGAGAAAGCCAGUCUCAGUUCGGAUUGGGGUCUGCAACUCGACCCCAUGAAGUCGGAGUUGCUAGUAAUCGUAGAUCAGCAACGCUACGGUGAAUACGUUCCCGGGGCUUGUACACACCGCCCGUCACGUCACGAAAGUCGGUAACACCCAAAGUCAGUGGCCCAACCGCAAGGAG
rnacentral:rRNA from 1 species